AAUCAGCCAAACACGGCAGA
rnacentral:miRNA from 1 species